rnacentral:rRNA from 1 species
GACGAACGCUGGCGGCGUGCCUAAUACAUGCAAGUCGAACGCACUGUUUAUACCGUAGCUUGCUACACCAUAGACUGUGAGUUGCGAACGGGUGAGUAACGCGUAGGUAACCUGCCUGGUAGCGGGGGAUAACUAUUGGAAACGCUAGCUAAUACCGCAUAAUAUUGAUUAUUGCAUGAUAAUUGAUUGAAAGCUGCUAUUGCAUCACUACCAGGUGGACCUGCGUUGUAUUAGCUAGUAGGUGAGGUAACGGCUCACCUAGGCGACGAUACAUAGCCGACCUGGGAGGGUGAUCAGCCACACUGGGACUGGGACACGGCCCAGACUCCUACGGGAGGCAGCAGUAGGGAAUCUUCGGCAAUGGACGAAAGUCUGACCGAGCAACGCCGCGUGAGUGAAGAAGGUUGUCGGAUCGUAAAGCUCUGUUGUAAGAGAAGAACGGGUGUGAGAGUGGAAAGUUCACACUGUGACGGUAGCUUACCAGAAAGGGACGGCUAACUACGUG